UUUUAAUUUUUAAAGAACCUAUUUUAUUUUUACAGCUACAUAAUAAAAAGUUUUUGGUGUUGGUGAAGACAAUUAAGUUAUUGCAUGAUGAAUGUUCGGAAAAAAGUGUGGUUGCAACUAUCGCAAAGCUGCUGCAUUAAAAAAAACAAAAUUAAAAUUCUAUGUAAAAAAUCAUUAUUUGUAUUUUAUACAAUACAAUACAAGAAAAUAAUCCAAAAUGUGUAGAAGAAUGCAAUUAGUUUGAAAACAACUUUGAAAAGAUAAACAACUCAAAUAUGACUGAAAUAUUUCCGAACAAAUAUCUGUAUUCCUGGGUAAGUAUUUAUAGUAAAAUACAUAUUAUGCACUUGUUCACAACACAACUGUGUCACUCUGCAAUUUACACAGUAAAAUACCCCACCCACGGUUGGAAAAAUAUCCAUGCAAACAUUUUUAAUUUAUUUUUUUUAAAUAAAUAAUAAAUAUAAUAAUUAUUUUUAGUAAUAAAGUAUUAUUUAUAAGACAAAAAAAUAUGGUAGAUAUUUAUCUUUACAUGGAUAUUGAUUGGGAAUGUUACUACGUACCCCAAUUAGCAACUGUUCAACAGAAAGACCAUUCUCAGUCUUGAAGAGAGAAAAUCGUAUCUCAGACCAUGUUCUAAAGAAAGUAGACUUAACAGUCUUGCAAUGAUGACGGUAGAAGAGGAUUUGACCUCGAAAAUUGAUUACAAUAGUAUAAUUGAAGAAUUUUCAUCAAUAAAAUAU